UACGUAGGGUGCAAGCGUUGUCCGGAAUUAUUGGGCGUAAAGAGCUCGUAGGCGGUUUGUCGCGUCAGCUGUGAAAACCCGCAGCUCAACUGUGGGCUUGCAGCUGAUACGGGCAGGCUUGAGUUCGGUAGGGGAGACUGGAAUUCCUGGUGUAGCGGUGAAAUGCGCAGAUAUCAGGAGGAACACCGGUGGCGAAGGCGGGUCUCUGGGCCGAAAUUGACGCUGAGGAGCGAAAGCGUGGGGAGCAAACAGG
rnacentral:rRNA from 1 species